AAAAAGAUAAGCUAAUUAAGCUACUGGGCCCAUACCCCAUUUAUAAAGGUUUUAAUCCUUUUCUUUUUA
rnacentral:tRNA from 1 species